rnacentral:lncRNA from 1 species
ACUAAUCUUGGACCCAGGCUCCUGAGCUACACUUGAGUGGGAUCAUGUCUUUGCCUGCCAUUGGUUCACUAUCUGCAGUGAGGAUGGAGCCAUCGGCAUUAAAGUAGAUGCUGCUCAUGACCAGAGCCGCCGGAGACCGGGUGCAGGAGGGGGAAAUAGAUGAUUCUCAACAGACUACGGCUUUCUGAAAAUAAGCAGCAAUGACCAUUCGCCUUUCAGAAAACUCUAAAGACAAAGACAGGCAUGCAAGAGUUCAGUUAACUCUCACUCCAUUGGUGGGAGAGGGAAAAUAGUAUAUAAGACAGGAAAUGAAUAAGAAGAACAGAAUUCCUCGGACAAGAGCAAUGGCAAGGGCCUGGCAUCAGGAAGUGACCACCAGAGAAGCUCAGAGGGAGAGCAUGGGCUCUGACAGAUUAAGAGUUGAGCAGCUCUGGAACUCUGCUUUUCCACCUUGAUCAGUUCCUCUUCACACACGUCUGCAAAUGAGACAAUCAUGGGACAUGGAGAUGGAUGUAUCCAUAGCAACAGGGCUUGCCUCUCCUAAAAGACCUCAGACCUGCUCAUGAUCCAGCCACUGGUCUAGCUCUGGAGGAGCCAGCCCAGACUAGAGCCAAUGUCAGUUUGUCCAGUGCUCUUCAGCUUGAUGAUUUCAUAUAAUGUUGAGCUGAGUACUGCGCCUGAUGGCUGAUGGAUGGAUGCUGCCCCGAAGGAGGAAAGCAUUUCCAGCAAUUCCUAUUCGCAAGAGGGAGGCAAGACAGGCAUGCCACUAUGCUAAGCCCUGUUUUAUAAAAGGACAAUCUCAGACCACUAGGGAAUAAAGUGGUCCAAGCCCUCUUCCACCAAAGCCUCUCAGGGAUGAAUCAGAAGCUCGGCAAGAAAUCUCUCUCAUACAGCCAACUCCAUCUCAGUGCAAGUGAGAACGGCAUCCGCUGGCCAGGAUCCUGUUGCAGAGUUCUGGUCCAGUGAGGCCUCCCUACCUGUUUGCCUCCUGCCCUAGCUUAGCUGAAGAACACAU